AUGGUGUGAUGUGGGAAUUUGAGAAGUAGCUCAUUAAAGUGCUCCCAUGCUUCAAAGAAAAGGUCUUCGUCUGUUUGUUGAAAGGUUAGAAUCUCCCUUUUAAGUUG